CGCUGCCGGAAGUGCGGGUCUCGCUUCCGGCGACAGCUUGGGGCGUGGGGGUGUGUUGGGUUCUCCGUGCCGGGGCUGCCCGGCGCGCGGAGGGAGCGCCGAGUGAGGAGGCCUCUGGUGCGUCCCUGCCCAGCAUGGCCAAGCCGACUGGCAAAGAUUCAGGCCUGAAGGAGAAGUUCAAGAUUCUCCUGGGACUGGGCACUUCAAGGCCAAACCCCCGGUCCGCAGAGGGCAAACAGACGGAGUUUAUCAUCACGGCGGAAAUCCUGAGAGAACUGAGUGUUGAAUGUGGCCUCAACAAUCGCAUCCGGAUGAUAGGACAGAUCUGCGAGGUUGCCAGAACCAAAAAGUUUGAAGAGCAUGCAGUGGAAGCGCUCUGGAAGGCCGUCUCAGACUUGCUGCAGCCAGAGCGGCCGCCAGAGGCCCGGCACGCAGUGCUGGCUCUGCUGAAGGCCAUCGUGCAGGGACAGGGGGACCGCUUGGGCAUCCUCAGGGCCCUCUUCUUUAAGGCCAUCAAGGAUUACCCCUCUCACGAAGACCUCCACGAGAGGCUGGAGGUUUUCAAGGCGCUCACGGACAACGGGAGGCACAUCAACUACUUGGAAGAAGACCUGGCCGAGUUUGUCCUGCAGUGGAUGGACGUCGGCCUGACCUCCGAGUUCCUUCUGGUGCUCGUGAACUUGGUGAAGUUCAACAGCUGUUACCUUGACGAGUACAUCGCAUCCAUGGUCCACAUGAUCUGCCUGCUCUGCGUCCAGACCGUGUCCUCCGUGGACAUAGAGGUCUCUCUGCAGGUGCUGGACGCUGUGGUCUGCUACAACUGCCUGCCGGCGGAGAGCCUCCCCCUCUUCAUUGUCACACUUUGCCGCACCAUCAACGUCAAGGAGCUCUGCGAGCCGUGCUGGAAGCUGAUGCGUAAUCUCCUGGGCACCCACCUGGGCCACAGCGCCAUCUACCACAUGUGCCGCCUCAUGGAGGACAGGGCCUUCAUGGAAGACGCCCCGCUGCUGCGGGGAGCCGUGUUCUUUGUGGGCAUGGCUCUGUGGGGAGCCCACCGGCUCUAUUCGCUCAGGAACUCCCCGACGUCGGUGUUGCCGUCCUUCUAUGAGGCCAUGACCUGUCCGAACGAGGUGGUGUCCUACGAGAUCGUCCUGUCCAUAACCCGACUCAUCAAGAAGUACCGGCGGGAGCUCCAGGCCGUGACCUGGGACGUCCUGCUGAACAUCAUUGAACGCCUGCUCCAGCAGCUCCAGAGCCUGGACAGUCCGGAACUCACAGCCAUCGUCCACGACCUGCUGACCACAGUGGAGGAGCUGUGUGAUCAGAACGAGUUCCAUGGCUCUCAGGAGAGAUACUUCGAGCUCGUUGAGAGAUAUGCGGACCAGAGGCCUGAGUCCUCACUCCUAAAUUUAAUAACCUACAGGGCCCAGUCCAUCCAUCCGGCCAAGGAUGGCUGGAUUCACAACCUGCAGCUGCUGAUGGAGCGAUUCUUCAGGAAUGAGGCGCGCAGCGCUGUGCGGAUCAAGGUACUGGACGUCCUGUCCUUCGUGUUGCUCAUCAACAAACAGUUCUACGAGGAGGAGCUCAUCAACUCGGUGGUCAUCUCACAGCUCUCCCACAUCCCCGAGGACAGAGACCACCAGGUCCGAAAGCUUGCCACCCAGCUGCUGGUGGACCUGGCCGAAGGCUGCCACACCCACCACUUCAACAGCCUGCUGGACAUCAUUGAGAAGGUGAUUGCCCGCUCCCUCUCGCCACCCCCCGAGCUGGAGGAGAGGGACGUGGCGGCGUACUCGGCCUCCUUGGAGGACGUGAAGACAGCGGUCCUGGGGCUCCUGGUCAUCCUGCAGACCAAGCUCUACGCCCUGCCCGCCAGCCACGCCAUGCGCGUGUAUGAGACGCUCGUCAGCCACCUCCAGCUCCACUACAAGCACAGUUACACCCUGCCCAUCGCCAGCAGCAUCCGGCUGCAGGCCUUCGACUUCCUGCUGAUGCUGCGGGCCGAUUCCUUGCACCGCCUCGGGCUGCCCAACAAGGACGGGGUUGUGAGGUUCAGCCCCUACUGCCUCUGUGACUACGUGGAGCCGGAGAGAGGCUCUGAGAAGAAGGCCAGUGGUCCCCUGUCACCUCCCACCGGGCCACCUGGCCCAGUGCCCACAGGCCCCACCGUGCGGCUGGGCUCGCUGCCCUACUCCCUGCUCUUCCGUGUCCUUCUGCAGUGUUUGAAGCAGGAGACGGACUGGAAGGUGCUCCGGCUGGUGCUCAGCAAGCUGCCCGAGUCGCUCCGCUACAAGGUCCUCACCUUCACGUCGCCCUGCAGCGUGGACCAGCUGUCGGCCGCCCUCUGCUCCAUGCUUUCAGGCCCCAAGACCCUUGAGCGGCUCCGAGGCACCCCGGAAGGGUUUUCCAGAACCGACCUGCAUCUCGCUGUGGUUCCCGUGCUGACGGCAUUAAUCUCGUACCAUAACUACUUGGACAAAACCAGACAGCGGGAGAUGGUGUACUGCCUGGAGCAAGGCCUCAUCUACCGCUGCGCCAGCCAGUGUGUGGUGGCGCUGGCCGUCUGCAGCGUGGAGAUGCCGGAUGUCAUCAUCAAGGCGCUGCCUGUCCUGGUGGUGAAGCUCACGCACAUCUCGGCCACGGCCAGCAUGGCCGUCCCGCUCCUCGAGUUCCUGUCCACUCUGGCCAGGCUGCCUCACCUCUACCGGAACUUUGCGGCGGAGCAGUAUGCCAGCGUGUUCGCCAUCUCCCUGCCGUACACCAACCCCUCCAAGUUCAAUCAGUACAUUGUGUGCCUGGCCCAUCACGUCAUAGCCAUGUGGUUCAUUAGGUGCCGCCUGCCCUUCCGGAAAGAUUUUGUUCCUUACAUCACGAAGGGCCUGCGCUCCAACGUUCUCCUGUCUUUUGAUGACACCCCCGAGAAGGACAGCUUUAGAGCUCGGAGUACCAGUCUCAACGAGAGGCCCAAGAGUUUGAGGAUAGCCAGGCCCCCCAAACAAGGCUUGAAUAACUCCCCACCCGUGAAAGAAUUCAAGGAGAGCCUUGCAGCCGAUGCCUUCCGGUGCCGCAGCAUCAGUGUUUCAGAGCACGCGGUCCGCAGCAGGAUCCAGACAUCGCUCACGAGCGCCAGCUUGGGGUCUGCAGAUGAGAACUCGAUGGCCCAGGCUGACGACAGCCUGAAGAACCUGCACCUGGAGCUCACAGAAACCUGUCUAGACAUGAUGGCCAGAUACGUGUUCUCCAACUUCACGGCCGUGCCCAAGAGGUCUCCCGUCGGGGAGUUCCUUCUGGCUGGUGGCAGGACCAAAACCUGGCUGGUUGGGAACAAGCUGGUCACCGUGACGACAAGCGUGGGGACCGGGACGCGGUCACUCCUGGGCUUGGACUCAGGAGAGCUGCAGGGCGGCCCAGAGUUGAGCUCCGACCCCGGUGUGCACGUGAGACAGAUAAAGGAGGCGCCGGCCAAGCUGGAGUCCCAGGCUGGGCAGCAGGUGUGCCGCGGGGCCCGGGACCGGGUCCGCUCCAUGUCUGGGGGCCACGGCCUUCGUGUUGGCACCUUGGAUGCUCCGGCCUCACACUUCCCAGGCAGCCCCUCUUCCCCGGGCUCAGAGACUGCCCCAGCCGGCAAGCCCGAAAAGGCCUCGGCUGGCUCCCAGCUCCCUGCGCAGAAGGAGAAAACAAACCUGGCGGCCUACGUCCCCCUGUUGACCCAGGGCUGGGCGGAGAUCUUGGUCCGAAGACCCACAGGGAACACCAGCUGGCUGAUGAGCCUGGAGAACCCGCUCAGCCCCUUCUCCUCGGACAUCAACAACAUGCCCCUGCAGGAGCUGUCCAAUGCCCUCAUGGCCGCCGAGCGCUUCAAGGAGCGCCGGGAUACGGCGCUGUACAAGUCCCUGUCGGUGCCGGCGGCCGGCUCGGCAAAGCCUCCCCCGCCCCCGCGCUCUAACACAGUGGCCUCUUUCUCCUCCCUGUGCCAGUCCCGCUGCCAAGGAAAGCUGCACAGGAGCAUUUCCUGGGCAGACUCUGCGGUGGUUCUGGAGGAGGGAGGUCCAGGCGAGCCUGGUUGGCCAGGGGGGGUCCCCGAGUUGGAAGACUUGGAGGCGCCGCUAGACACAGGUCAGCGCUGCUGCCGCGCCGAAGCUUUCAGCAGGUCGUCCUCAACCUCCAGCCAGGAGGAGAAGCUGUUCCACGCAGAGGACUUGGCAGCCGGGGGCAUCCCCAUCGAGCGGGCCGUCUCCUCGGAGGGCUCCCGGUCCUCUGUGGACCUCACCUUCCAGCCCUCACAGCCCCUGAGCAAGUCCAGCUCAUCGCCUGAACUGCAGACCCUGCAGGAUGUCCUUGGGGACCUUGGGGACAAGGCCGAUGCCGGCCGACUGAGCCCUGAGGCCAAGGCCCGGUCGCAGUCAGGGAUCCUGGAUGGGGAAGGCGCUGCCUGGCCAGCUCCGGGCGAAGAGGGCCGGGGCCGGGGUCCUUCCCAGACCGAGGGCCCCUUACCUUCCAGCUGCCCCCGCUCCCCCAGUGGCCUGCGGCCUCGAGGCUACACCAUCUCUGAUUCGGCCCCGUCGCGCAGGGGCAAGCGGGUGGAGAGGGAUGCCUUCAAGGGCAGAGCCAGGACCCCCAACACGGAGAAGGUGCCGGGCAUCAACCCCAGCUUCGUGUUCCUGCAGCUCUACCACUCCCCUUUCUUCGGUGACGAGUCCAACAAGCCCAUCCUUCUGCCCAGCGAGUCUUUUGAGCGGUCGGUGCAGCUCCUCGACCAGAUCCCGUCAUAUGACACGCACAAGAUCGCCGUCCUGUACGUGGGAGAAGGCCAGAGCAACAGUGAGCUUGCCAUCCUGUCCAACGAGCACGGCUCCUACAGGUACACGGAGUUCCUGACGGGGCUGGGCAAGCUCAUCGAGCUCAAGGACUGCCAGCCGGACAAGGUGUACCUGGGUGGCUUGGACGUGUGUGGCGAGGACGGCCAGUUCACCUACUGCUGGCACGACGACAUCAUGCAAGCCGUCUUCCACAUCGCCACCCUGAUGCCCACCAAGGACGUGGACAAGCACCGCUGUGACAAGAAGCGCCACCUGGGCAAUGAUUUCGUGUCCAUCGUCUACAACGACUCGGGCGAGGACUUCAAGCUGGGCACCAUCAAAGGUGAUUCCUGCUCUUGUCCGGUCAGGGCCAGUUCAACUUUGUCCACGUGAUCAUCACGCCCCUGGACUACGAGUGCAACCUGGUGUCGCUGCAGUGCAGGAAAGACAUGGAGGGCCUCGUGGACACCAGUGUGGCCAAGAUUGUGUCUGACCGAAACCUGCCCUUCGUGGCCCGCCAGAUGGCCCUGCAUGCGAACAUGGCCUCGCAGGUGCACCAUAGCCGAUCCAACCCCACGGACAUCUACCCCUCCAAGUGGAUCGCCAGGCUCCGCCACAUCAAGCGGCUGCGCCAACGGAUCCGAGAGGAGGCCCACUACUCGAACGCCAGCCUGCCCCAGAUGCAGACGCACCCUCCCGGCCACGCCAAGGCCCCGGCGCAGGCCCCAGCGGAGCCCACGCCCACCUACGAGACGGGCCAGCGCAAGCGUCUCAUCUCCUCCGUGGACGACUUCACCGAGUUUGUGUGAGGCUGCGCGCGGGCCGCUGCCUGGUCCCCUUGGAGCCUGUCGGAGACGCUGAGCACACGCCCCGGCAGCAGCCCUCCCUGCCCGCAAGGAGCUGGGGUGGUUUUCAUUUGCGUGAAUAAAGGGCUGGUGGGGCCCCAGCCGGCACACACGACAGAGACGCGGAGGCCGUCAGUCAGCUCGUUUAUUUGACUCCGUCUGUUGGCGGGGGGGUCAAGGCUGUAGCUUGGGCCAUGCCCCUGGCGCAGGGCAGGGGCCUGUCCGGCUGCUCCUGGGGCCUCCACUCAGGAAAGCCGCCCAGGGAACUGUCCCACUCGCCUCUCCUGCUGGGAGCCAGCCCCAGGGAGCGGCCUUUCCCUCUCCCCACCCUGGGGUCCUGUGCCAGGCACGGGUGCUGCCCUAGCCCAGACCCGACACCAGCAGACCUGGGCAGGGCAGGAGGCUAAGGCCACAGCGGUGACAAGAAAGGCCUGGGGGAGGCUGUGCCCCUCCCGCAGCCCUUGGCCCAGCACCUGCCCCAGGCCCGACUUGGAUCCAAGAAGCAACUGUUGCUUCCCCAGCCCUAGGGGCAUAUAUCUGGGGAGGGAGGCCAGCUCUGCAGCCCCAGCUUCUCCUCCAGGCAGGCGACCAUGGGCACAGGCUGCUUCAGCCCUCAGGCCCCUUGGCCCUACUGAGAAAUAAAGCGACUUACAAAAAUA